rnacentral:rRNA from 1 species
UACGGAGGAUCCGAGCGUUAUCCGGAUUUAUUGGGUUUAAAGGGUGCGUAGGUGGAUUGGUAAGUCAGUGGUGAAAGUUUGCAGCUUAACUGUAAAAUUGCCGUUGAAACUGCCGGUCUUGAGUGCAAUGAGGUAGGCGGAAUGCGUCGUGUAGCGGUGAAAUGCUUAGAUAUGACGCAGAACUCCGAUUGCGAAGGCGGCUUACUGGGAUGCAACUGACGCUGAGGCACGAAAGCGUGGGUAUCAAACAGGAUUAGAUACCCU